rnacentral:rRNA from 1 species
UACAGAGGGGGCAAGCGUUGUUCGGAAUUACUGGGCGUAAAGGGCGCGUAGGCGGCGCGGUAAGUCACUUGUGAAAUCUCUGAGCUUAACUCAGAACGGCCAAGUGAUACUGCAGUGCUAGAGUGCAGAAGGGGCAAUCGGAAUUCUUGGUGUAGCGGUGAAAUGCGUAGAUAUCUGGAGGAACACCGAUGGCGAAGGCAGGUCUCUGGGCAUUAACUGACGCUGAGGAGCGAAAGCAUGGGGAGCGAACAGG